rnacentral:rRNA from 1 species
GAUGAACGCUAGCGGCAGGCUUAAUACAUGCAAGUCGAGGGGCAGCAUGAUUGUAGCAAUACAAUUGAUGGCGACCGGCAAACGGGUGCGGAACACGUACACAACCUUCCAAUAAGUGGGGAAUAGCACAGAGAAAUUUGGAUUAAUACCCCGUAACAUAACGAUGUGGCAUCACAUUGUUAUUAUAGAUUUUUCGCUUAUUGAUGGGUGUGCGUCGGAUUAGAUAGUUGGCGGGGUAACGGCACACCAAGUCUACGAUCAGUAGCUGAUGUGAGAGCAUGAUCAGCCACACGGGCACUGAGACACGGGCCCGACUCCUACGGGAGGCAGCAGUAAGGAAUAUUGGACAAUGGACGCAAGUCUGAUCCAGCCAUGCCGCGUGAAGGAUUAAGGUCCUCUGGAUUGUAAACUUCUUUUAUAAGGGACGAAAAAAGGCUUUUCUAAGUCGUCUGACGGUACCUUAUGAAUAAGCACCGGCUAACUCCGUGCCAGCCGCCGCAGUAACAC